AGAGUUUGAUUAUGGCUCAGGACGAACGCUGGCGGCGUGCCUAAUACAUGCAAGUAGAACGCUGAAGGAGGAGCUUGCUCUUCUGGAUGAGUUGCGAACGGGUGAGUAACGCGUAGGUAACCUGCCUGGUAGCGGGGGAUAACUAUUGGAAACGAUAGCUAAUACCGCAUAACAUUGACUAUUGCAUGAUAGUCAAUUAAAAGGUGCAAAUGCACCACUACCAGAUGGACCUGCGUUGUAUUAGCUAGUUGGUGGGGUAACGGCUCACCAAGGCGACGAUACAUAGCCGACCUGAGAGGGUGAUCGGCCACACUGGGACUGAGACACGGCCCAG
rnacentral:rRNA from 1 species